AACGAACGCUGGCGGCAUGCCUAACACAUGCAAGUCGAACGAGACCUUCGGGUCUAGUGGCGCACGGGUGCGUAACGCGUGGGAACCUGCCCUUAGGUUCGGAAUAACUCCUCGAAAGGGGUGCUAAUACCGGAUAAUGUCUUCGGAACAAGGUUCUAUCGCCUUUGGAUGGGCCCGCGUUGGAUUAGGUAGUUGGUAGGGUAAAAGCCUCCCAAGGCGACGAUCCAAAGCGGGUUUGAGAGGAUGCCCAGACCCCUUGGGACGGAGACACGGCCCAGACUCCUGCGGAGGGCAGAAGGGGGGAAGAGGGAAGAAGGGGGAAAGGCCAGGGCCGUCAGGUCGGGAGGGUUGGUGAAUGCGGAGGGGUGGAAAACCUGCUUAACCCGGGAAGGAAUGACGAUACCGGGAGAAAAAGCCCCGGCUAACUACGUG
rnacentral:rRNA from 1 species